AGAGUUUGAUCCUGGCUCAGGAUGAACGCUGGCGGCGUGCUUAACACAUGCAAGUCGAACGGACCAUAUUCGUAUGGUUAGUGGCAGACGGGUGCGUAACACGUGGGUGACCUGCCCUCAAGUGGGGAACAACUCCGCUAACGCGGAGCUAAUACCGCAUAUGUUCGCUUUUUCAGUAAGGCGAGUAAAGCAGUAAUGCGCUUGGGGAUGGGCCUGCGGCGGAUUAGCUAGUUGGUGGGGUAACGGCCUACCAAGGCGAUGAUCCGUAGGGGNCGUGAGAGCGUGGCCCCCCACACUGGCACUGAGACACGGGCCAGACUCCUACGGGAGGCAGCAGUGAGGAAUAUUGCACAAUGGGCGCAANNNUGAUGCAGCAACGCCGCGUGAGGGACGAAGGCCUUCGGGUCGUAAACCUCUUUUCUGGGGGACGAGUAAGGACGGUACCUCAGGAAUAAGUCUCGGCUAACUACGUGCCAGCAGCCGCGGUAAAACGUAGGAGGCGAGCGUUAUCCGAAUUUACUGGGAGUAAAGCGUACGCAGGUGGCUUCGUGAGUCGGACAUGAAAGCUCCCGGCUUAACUGGGAGAGGUUGUUCGAUACUGCGGGGCUUGAGGUUGGGAGAGGGACGUGGAAUUCCCGGUGUAGUGGUGGAAUGCGUAGAUAUCGGGAGGAACACCAGUGGCGCAAGCGGCGUCCUGGCCCACACCUGACGCUGAGGUACGAAAGCGUGGGUAGCAAACAGGAUUAGAUACCCUGGUAGUCCACGCUGUAAACGAUGUCAACUGGGUGUCGGUAGUUUUACACUAUCGGUGCCGAAGCUAACGCGUUAAGUUGACCGCCUGGGGACUACGGCCGCAAGGCUAAAACUCAAAGGAAUUGACGGGGCCCCGCACAAGCAGCGGAGCGUGUGGUUUAAUUCGAUGUUACACGAAGAACCUUACCAGGGUUUGACAUGCAAGUAACGGCAAGCGCGAAAGCAUUUGCCACUUCGGGAGGCUUGCACAGGUGCUGCAUGGCUGUCGUCAGCUCGUGUCGUGAGAUGUUCGGUUAAGUCCGCUAACGAGCGCAACCCUCACUGUGUGUUAUAUGUGUCACACGGACCGCCGGUCUUAAGCCGGAGGAAGGUGGGGAUGACGUCAAGUCAGCAUGGCCUUUAUAUCCUGGGCUACACACACGCUACAAUGGCCAACACAAUAGGUCGCUAAGCCGCGAGGUGGAGCCAAUCCAUAAAGUUGGUCUCAGUUCAGAUUGCAGGCUGCAACCCGCCUGCAUGAAGAUGGAGUUGCUAGUAACCGCAGGUCAGCUAUACUGCGGUGAAUACGUUCCCGGGGCUUGUACACACCGCCCGUCACGUCAUGGGAGUUGGCAACACCUGAAGCCNGUAUCCUAACCGCAAGGAGGGAGCCGUCGAGGGUGGNGUCGAUGACUGGGACGAAGUCGUAACAAGGUANGUGUACCGGAAGGUGUGGCUGGAUCACCUCCUU
rnacentral:rRNA from 1 species